rnacentral:rRNA from 1 species
CCUACGGGUGGCAGCAGUGAGGAAUAUUGGUCAAUGGUCGGGAGACUGAACCAGCCAAGCCGCGUGAGGGAGGAAGGUACAGAGUAUCGUAAACCUCUUUUGUCAGGGAACAAAGACUGGGACGCGUCCCCGGAUGAGUGUACCUGAAGAAAAAGCAUCGGCUAACUCCGUGCCAGCAGCCGCGGUCAUACGGAGGAUGCGAGCGUUAUCCGGAUUUAUUGGGUUUAAAGGGUGCGCAGGCGGUCUGUUAAGUCAGGGGUCAAAGCCCGGGGCUAAACCCCGGCCCGCCGUUGAAACUGGCAGUCUCGAGUUGGAGAGAAGGAUGCGGAAUGGGCGGGGGAGGGGUGAAAUGCA